UGGGGAAUAUUGGACAAUGGGCGCAAGCCUGAUCCAGCCAUGCCGCGUGAGUGAUGAAGGCCCUAGGGUUGUAAAGCUCUUUCACCGGUGAAGAUAAUGACGGUAACCGGAGAAGAAGCCCCGGCUAACUUCGUGCCAGCAGCCGCGGUAAUACGAAGGGGGCUAGCGUUGUUCGGAGUUACUGGGCGUAAAGCGCACGUAGGCGGACUUUUAAGUCAGGGGUGAAAUCCCGGGGCUCAACCUCGGAACUGCCUUUGAUACUGGGAGUCUUGAGUAUGGGAGAGGUGAGUGGAAUUCCGGGUGUAGAGGUGAAAGUCGUAGAUAUUGGGAGGAACACCAGUGGCGAAGGCGGCUCACUGGACCAUUACUGACGCUGAGGUGCGAAAGCGUGGGGAGCAAACAGG
rnacentral:rRNA from 1 species